rnacentral:rRNA from 1 species
UACGAAGGGGGCUAGCGUUGCUCGGAAUCACUGGGCGUAAAGCGCACGUAGGCGGAUCUAUAAGUCAGGGGUGAAAUCCUGGAGCUCAACUCCAGAACUGCCUUUGAUACUGAGGAUCUUGAGUCCGGGAGAGGUGAGUGGAACUGCGAGUGUAGAGGUGAAAUUCGUAGAUAUUCGCAAGCACACCAGUGGCGCUGGCGGCUCCCUUUCCCGGUACUGACGCUGAGGCGCGAAAGCGUGGGGAGCAAACAGG